AGAAAUGUGACUUGGCCCUUUAGCUCAAGCCUCUCCUCUCAGCCUUUCUCAGCCAUCUAUCUGCCUUUGACAUACACAGUGACCGUUUAGACUGUCAAGAGGAUCUGGAAGCAGGGAGUGAUUGGGGGACAUGCUGCAGAGAGUCCUUGCCACCCCCCCCCCCCCACACACACACGGCACUCUCCGCCUUUAUGAUACCUCUGGGUGGGCGUCAGGGAGAAUCCCAGCCAUGGAAGACAGCUUAGAUCUACCUGGAAAGCGUCCAUUCCAGGAGAAGACAGUCCUUGGCUACGGCGAACUGGAGAUGUACUUGGAUUCCGUGGAUACAGAUCACAGAAGGACUUGGAAAGAUCAAAACCUGUUGUCCAGCAUUUGGGAACACUUGGGACUCUGGAAAGGUGGCCACUGAAAAGCACCACAGGUCUUAAUGGCUCCCCGGAAUCUUCUUAGCACUGAGAAGCUCGAGCUAUGGACACUCCUUUCAGACAGGCUUGCGACUGUGAUGUCAUGGAUCUUCUGCCUCUAGAUCCUGAUCUCAGUUUUGAGUGCAGUGUAUGCUUUUGCAUAUGACUUUAGGGCAGAUAGGGAUGCAAGGUGGAGUUUUUGUCUUUUGAGGAUUCAGGCUUUACCUCUAGAUAUUAGUGUGGUUAAGAUUUGAAAAUCUAUAGUAAGACAAUAUUACUUUGGGGAAACCAUCACAUGGAAAUAAAGGCUCCCAUUCUCGUGG